UACGAAGGGGGCUAGCGCUGCUCGGAAUCACUGGGCGUAAAGCGCACGUAGGCGGAUCGUUAAGUCAGGGGUGAAAUCCUGGAGCUCAACUCCAGAACUGCCUUUGAUACUGGCGAUCUUGAGUUCGGGAGAGGUGAGUGGAACUGCGAGUGUAGAGGUGAAAUUCGUAGAUAUUCGCAAGAACACCAGUGGCGAAGGCGGCUCACUGGCCCGAUACUGACGCUGAGGUGCGAAAGCGUGGGGAGCAAACAGG
rnacentral:rRNA from 1 species